rnacentral:lncRNA from 1 species
GAAGGAAGUGAAACUUUCUAUUAUUUUGCAGUCAGACCAAAAACCAAACAAUCCAAAAAAAAAUCUAUAAAUUAAUAGGAGGAACGGAAAAGGUUUUAAUUCUUUUCACCUGCAUAAUAACUUGCCUAUAUGAAGCAAAUAAGAGCAAAUAAAAAGUCAUUUACUCACAGAGAAUCAAAAGGAUGACUUUGAUUAAAACAAAUAUUUACCAAACACUCAAACAAAGGAAUUAAGAAAAAACUAAGAACUUCAAAAUAAGAAUUCCAUUAUUCAAAUUCGAUAUGACCACCCAAAUAUGAUAGCAGUUACUAAAAAUCCCUCAUCAUCUUAGAAUUCAUAUAUUUGAAUGUGGCAAGGAACAUUAUUUUUCAGUAAUAAAUUGUUGCUCAAUGCUAAGAAUCAAUUCAUAUAUUUGAAUGGAUACAUCUAUUUUCACAUUUAGGAAGAUUUUCACGAGUCUUGUACCCAGAUAAGUUGGAAAAAAUAUGAUUAGUUUUGAAGUCCUUUCUGGAGCAGUAAGUAGUGGAAACUAAGCAUUGGAAUAGAACUCAUCUUUCCUAGAAUGCCAAAAUAGAUACAAGUCAAGGAUUCCACUUUCAAAUGAAAAAAAUAUUUUAUUAAAUGGUACCAGUCUUAAAGAUCAUUAGAGAAAGGAACAGGUUGAUAACAGAUACAAGGAAAUAACAGUUCGGAUGUACUCAUCAUAAGUGGAGCGCUUACUUAAUUGUGCGUAUCAUAGACUAUCCACGAUAUCUGUCAUAGAAACAAAACAAAUAAGAUUGUCAUUUAUAUUUAUAAAGAUAAACUAAGUGCAUAAUAUGAGAUGAUAAAUUCACAAACAUGGAUGAAGGAAAACAACAGCAGAACUCCAUAUAUAAUUUCACAAACUUAUAUUUUAAAAAGAAAUUCUAUGUUCACUUGGAGAAGAAGGAUUAGUGCUAAAUAACAUUUGCCCAACAAAAUAAGUGGAUCAAAAUAAAACAAAGAUGAUUAGAGAAAAAUGACUGGCAUAGCAAACUCCAGAGCAAUUUUUUUAUAAAUCGACGUCAACCAGUGUGUCAAUCCUUCUAACAGAUUACGCCAAAUAGAAAAAAUCAGUGAUAAUCUUUCACUCGAUUUACAGAGAAAUCAAAACAUAAGACACAAUAGGUAACUAAAUUCUUAGAUAAAUUCAAUUGAUUUUUACACCACCAUGGAAUUCACUAUAAACAACCAGAGUCAUUGUUGUAUUCGUAUCUGACGGCUUGUGCAAAAUUAAGAAGCAGACGAAUCAUAUCAACACAAAAUAUUAAAUUCACGAUGACAACAAAACAACCAAGAGAUGCAAACUUCCGUGCUACUUCGAAUCAAAAAAUGAGGAAAAAAUAAAAAAAUAUUGAAGUUGAAAACAUAAAUCUUACACAAGAAUCCCUAAUUAAGAGGUUAAACAAAAGUGAGGGUUACAUUAGUACCUAAAACAUUAAAAUAUUAUGGAUAAUAUCACCUGGGUGUUCUUUAUCAAGACAUGGUAGACCAUUCUUAUAGAGUUCACAUCUUGACGUAGGUCCCAAGUCGAUGCAUCUUCCCCGAAAUGCAAGUGAAAAUAGCGUUCUUGAACGAUGAACUCAGGUGUAAAAGGAGAGUAUCUGCCGGCGUUGUACGGAGGGAUGUUCUCUCCAGCAAAUUUCAUGGAGGAUUAAUAUAUUAGAGGGAAAAAUAGACACUAAGAAAUGGAACAGACGCUAUACAAUUAAGAUACGGAGGUUACAAAGUGGUUAUUAUGAGACAUGACCUUUGAAUUUUCUUAAGCUCGUCAAAUUAUGAAAUAUUGCGAAAAAGGGCAAAAAAUUAGGGGAAAAAA